rnacentral:rRNA from 1 species
ACGGAGGGGGCUAGCGUUGUUCGGAAUUACUGGGCGUAAAGCGCGCGUAGGCGGCUUUGUAAGUUAGAGGUGAAAGCCCGGAGCUCAACUCCGGAAUUGCCUUUAAGACUGCAUCGCUUGAAUCAUGGAGAGGUGAGUGGAAUUCCGAGUGUAGAGGUGAAAUUCGUAGAUAUUGGGAGGAACACCGGUGGCGAAGGCGGCCAUCUGGACCGCAACUGACGCUGAGGCGCGAAAGCGUGGGGAGCAAACAGGA